GCGCCCGUAGCUCAGGGGAUAGAGCGUUGGUCUCCGGAACCAAAGGCCGCAAGUUCGAAUCUUGCCGGGCGCG
rnacentral:tRNA from 1 species